rnacentral:rRNA from 1 species
AUUGAACGCUGGCGGCAGGCCUAACACAUGCAAGUCGAUCGGAGCGGCGGACGGGUGAGUAAUGCCUAGGAAUCUGCCUGGUAGUGGGGGAUAACGUCCGGAAACGGGCGCUAAUACCGCAUACUAUCAGAUGAGCCUAGGUCGGAUUAGCGAGUUGGUGGGGUAAAGGCCUACCAAGGCGACGAUCCGUGACUGGUCUGAGAGGAUGAUCAGUCACACUGGAACUGAGACACGGUCCAGACUCCUACGGGAGGCAGCAGUGGGGAAUAUUGGACAAUGGGCGAAAGCCUGAUCCGGACAUGGCGCAUGUGUGAAGAAGGUCUUCGGAUUGUAAAGCACUUUAAGUUGGGAGGCGUUACCAGCAGAAUAAGCACCGGCUAACUUCGUGCCAGCAGCCGCGGUAAUAC